AAAAAGCUGUGACAUCUUGUCCACAACAGAUUCAGAACUGUGGGCAACAGUAAAAGAAAACCCUCUGAACUACAGAACUUCCUGCCAAACAAACAGCAAAAUGUCAACAUAGGAAACAAAGGAGUUCUAAACAGCAAAGUGGACUUAGCCGGCGGCAAAAGUGACAUCAUGGAAGUCUUCUGACUAAUAAGAAGUUGGACGGCGAACGCCUUUUUAACAGUUACACCGAGAGGAUGAAAGCGAACCAGAUCUGUUGCACUUUAGCUAAUCAGACUCCGCGAAGAGGAGGGAGUUCGGAGCAGAUGACAAACCUAGGAAAUAAAUAAUGCAGGGCAAUAAAAUGUUACAU